rnacentral:rRNA from 1 species
UACAGAGGUCUCAAGCGUUGUUCGGAAUUACUGGGCGUAAAGCGCACGUAGGCGGAUAUUUAAGUCAGGGGUGAAAUCCCGGGGCUCAACCCCGGAACUGCCUUUGAUACUGGGUAUCUCGAGUCCGAGAGAGGUGAGUGGAAUUCCGAGUGUAGAGGUGAAAUUCGUAGAUAUUCGGAGGAACACCAGUGGCGAAGGCGGCUCACUGGCUCGGUACUGACGCUGAGGUGCGAAAGCGUGGGGAGCAAACAGG